GAUGAAGAACGCAGCGAAAUGCGAUAAGUAAUGUGAAUUGCAGAAUUCAGUGAAUCAUCGAAUCUUUGAACGCACAUUGCGCCCGCCAGUAUUCUGGCGGGCAUGCCUGUUCGAGCGUCAUUACAACCCUCAGGCCCCCAGGCCUGGCGUUGGGGAUCGGCGGAAGCCCCCUGCGGGCACAACGCCGUCCCCCAAAUACAGUGGCGGUCCCGCCGCAGCUUCCAUUGCGUAGUAGCUAACACCUCGCAACUGGAGAGCGGCGCGGCCACGCCGUAAAACACCCAACUUCUGAAUGUUGACCUCGAAUCAGGUAGGAAUACCCGCUGAACUUAAGCAUAUCAAUAAGCGGAGGA
rnacentral:misc_RNA from 1 species